UUAAUUAUAUAUAACACUAUUUGACUACACGAAAUUGAAGGAGCUAAUUAUUAUAUAUUUAUAGAUGUAAGGUGUUGCAUAACUUAAGAAAUAAUAAUUAGGGGUGAUAGGCUAAUCAACUUCAAUGAUAACUUGAUAAUCAUUAAAUGUAAAAGUACAAAAACACUUUUAGAAUGAUAAGGUUUUAAAAGAUUAACAAUAUACUGAAAUUGUAAUAUGCUUUGUUUAAUCACUAGUAUAAUUAUAAUAUAUUAUAAAUUGAGUGAGGUUGUUUUAAUUGUUGAUUAAUAUAUAAAUAAUGUGUACAUAUAAAUAAUGUUGAUAUUAGUAAUAUAAGUACAUAAUAUGAACUCGGCAAUAAGUCUUUUAACUGUUUAUCAAAAACAUAGCUACAUGUAUUUAUAUGUGGUAAUUUCUGCUCAAUGAAGUUUAAAUAGCCGCAGUACUCUGACUGUGCUAAGGUAGCGCAAUCAAUUGGCUUUUAAUUGGAGUCCUGUAUGAAAGAAAACAUAAGGGGCUACUUUAUUUUUUGUAAUUAAUGAAUUUACUUAAAAAGUGCAAAUUCUUUUAUUUAAAUAAAAGACGAGAAGACCCUAGAAAUUUUAUAGAUUAGGCUUUUUGUUGGGGCAACAAAGUAGCAAUAUAAUCUACUUAAAAUACAUGAAAGAUAUAUUUUGUAAGAUUAAAUUACUCUAGGGAUAACAGCAUAAUUUGCAAAAGUUUGUGACCUCGAUGUUGGAUUAGGGUAUUAACAUUUAAAAG
rnacentral:rRNA from 2 species